AGUUCAUAUAGUUUAUUAAUAAAAACCUUUUAUUUUCAUUAAAAAGAAAACUUACAAGUAAAGUUUAUGAAUA
rnacentral:tRNA from 1 species